rnacentral:rRNA from 1 species
AACGAACGCUGGCGGCAGGCUUAACGCAUGCAAGUCGAGCGCCCCGCAAGGGGAGCGGCAGACGGGUGAGUAACGCGUGGGAACGUACCUUUUGGUUCGGAACAACUCCGGGAAACUGGAGCUAAUACCGGAUAAGCCCUAACGGGGAAAGAUUUAUCGCCGAAAGAUCGGCCCGCGUCUGAUUAGCUAGUUGGUGAGGUAACGGCUCACCAAGGCGACGAUCAGUAGCUGGUCUGAGAGGAUGAUCGGCCACACUGGGACUGAGACACGGCCCAGACUCCUACGGGAGGCAGCAGUGGGGAAUAUUGGACAAUGGGCGCAAGCCUGAUCCAGCCAUGCCGCGUGAGUGAUGAAGGCCUUAGGGUUGUAAAGCUCUUUUGUCCGGGAAGAUAAUGACUGUACCGGAAGAAUAAGCCCCGGCUAACUUCGUG